ensembl:lncRNA
AAAUGGUAAAAUUGAGACCACAUUACUCUGCAAAGUCUUUGAUUUAAUCGUAGUUGAACUUUCUAACCUCCUGUUUAGGUUUAAGGUCUCAAUCUACCUCAGUUAACCUCAAAGCUACCACAAGAGGUGAUGCACACACUGUCACAGUGUCACGGAGAACAGUGUUGAUCUUGGCGGUGACUAGCCUGUGCAUUGUCCUGACUGGUGUGUCUGCACUCUGUCUCAUCUGGACAUGUCGUAUGUGAUAUUCAUGACAUUUCAUUCAUAGAAUAGCUCUAGGAAAACACAUUAAUGCUCAAGGCAAUGCAUUCAUUGCCAAUUAUAUCUCAAAAAGUCACCAGAUGGUAC